rnacentral:rRNA from 1 species
CAGCAGCCGCGGGAAUACGUAGGGCGCAAGCGUUGUCCGGAAUUAUUGGGCGUAAAGAGCUCGUAGGCGGUCUGUCGCGUCUGGUGUGAAAUCCCGAGGCUCAACCUCGGGCUUGCAUCGGGUACGGGCAGACUAGAGUGCGGUAGGGGAGACUGGAAUUCCUGGUGUAGCGGUGGAAUGCGCAGAUAUCAGGAGGAACACCGAUGGCGAAGGCAGGUCUCUGGGCCGCAACUGACGCUGAGGAGCGAAAGCAUGGGGAGCGAACAGGAUUAGAUACCCGCGUAGUCCCUGUCUCUUAUAA